rnacentral:rRNA from 1 species
CGGCGUGCCUAACACAUGCAAGUCGAACGAAGCACUGCGGAAAGAGACUUCGGUCAAUGGAAGCUUUGACUUAGUGGCGGACGGGUGAGUAACGCGUGAGGAACCUGCCUCAAAGAGGGGACAACAGUUGGAAACGACUGCUAAUACCGCAUAAGCCCACGACCUGGCAUCGGGUAGAGGGAAAAGGAGCAAUCCGCUUUGAGAUGGCCUCGCGUCCGAUUAGCUAGUUGGUGAGGUAAUGGCCCACCAAGGCGACGAUCGGUAGCCGGACUGAGAGGUUGAACGGCCACAUUGGGACUGAGACACGGCCCAGACUCCUACGGGAGGCAGCAGUGGGGAAUAUUGCACAAUGGGGGAAACCCUGAUGCAGCGACGCCGCGUGGAGGAAGAAGGUCUUCGGAUUGUAAACUCCUGUUGUUGAGGAAGAUAAUGACGGUACUCAACAAGGAAGUGACGGCUAACUACGUG